CAUCUUUGAGAAAUUAUUAUAAAUACUAUACGUAUUUUAAGGCCCUAAAAAGCCCUCAAAACCA
rnacentral:tRNA from 1 species